GGGUUUUCAUAAGGUCACCGAGAAGAUUGUCCGGGUUUUCAUAAGGUCACCGAGAAGAUUGUCUGGGUUUUCAUAAGGUCACCGAGAAGAUUGUCUGGGUUUUCAUAAGGCCACUGAGAAGAUUUUCCAGGUUUUCAUAAGGUCACCGAGAAGAUUGUCCAGGUUUUCAUUAGGCCACUGAGAAGAUUUUCCAGGUUUUCAUAAGGUCACCGAGAAGAUUGUCCAGGUUUUCAUAAGGCCACCAAGAAGAUUGUCCAGGUUUUCAUAAGGCCACCAAGAAGAUUGUCCAGGUUUUCAUAAGGCCACCAAGAAGAUUGUCCAGGUUUUCAUAAGGCCACCAAGAAGAUUGUCCAGGUUUUCAUAAGGCCACUGAGAAGAUUGUCCAGGUUUUCAUAAGGUCACCAAGAAGAUUGUCCAGGUUUUCAUAAGGCCACUGAGAAGAUUGUCCGGGUUUUCAUAAGGCCACUGAGAAGAUUGUCCAGGUUUUCAUAAGGCCACCAAGAAGAUUGUCCGGGUUUUCAUAAGGCCACUGAGAAGAUUGUCUGGGUUUUCAUAAGGCCACUGAGAAGAUUGUCUGGGUUUUCAUAAGGUCACCGAGAAGAUUGUCCGGGUUUUCAUAAGGCCACCAAGAAGAUUGUCCAGGUUUU